GGAACAGAUUUUGAACAGGAAAGAAAAGUAUUUCAGGCCAGAUGGUUUAUCUGAUGGAGCCAUAUUCUGACAGAAGGAAAGAGUAACGCUGUGCAGUUUAGUGGUUAUGUCAGGCAGAGAAGAAAGCCCCUCUGCUAUGUUAAUGGAGAUCUGUGAUUGUGCUGGACUCGAGGGUAAUAUGACAGUUCCUAACAGUAGCAGGUAGACCUUCUUUUUCACCUGGAGCCUCAGAAAAUGUUCCCUGCUCAUCCAUGACAGUCUUCUUCCCUGCCAGCUCAUCAUACAGCACAGGAGUAUGACUGGACUGCUCCUGCAUCUCUAAGACUUCCUUCUUGAGGAGUCGCCAGCUUUCCUGGACCCCUUCACCCUUCAGUUCUGAGUCCCAAGACACCAUCACUACCAGUGUCCCGAACAAUUAAGAGUCCAUUCUACGGAAGUCCAAGGU
rnacentral:lncRNA from 1 species